rnacentral:rRNA from 1 species
UAGACUUUGAUCCUGGCUCAGAUUGAACGCUGGCGGCAGGCCUAACACAUGCAAGUCGAGCGGUAACACAGAGGAGCUUGCUCCUUGGGUGACGAGCGGCGGACGGGUGAGUAAUGCCUGGGGAUUUCCCCGAUAGAGGGGGAUAAUUACGGGAAACUGUAGCUAAUCCCGCAUAAUGUCUACGGACCAAAGUGGGGGCUCUUCGGACCACAUGCUAUCGGAUGAACCCAGGUGGGAUUAGCUAGUUGGUGAGGUAAUGGCUCACCAAGGCGACGAUCUCUAACUGGUUUGAGAGAAUGACCAGUCACACUGGAACUGAGACACGGUCCAGACUCCUACGGGAGGCAGUAGUGGGGAAUAUUGCACAAUGGGCGCAAGCCUGAUGCAGCCAUGCCGCGUGUGUAAAGAAGGCCUUCGGGUUGUAAAGCACUUUCAGCGGGGAGGAAGGGUCACUAGUUAAUACCUAGUGGCAUUGACGUUACUCGCAGAAGAAGCACCGGCUAACUCCGUGCCAGCAGCCGCGGUAAUACGGAGGGUGCAAGCGUUAAUCGGAAUUACUGGGCGUAAAGCGCACGCAGGCGGUUUAUUAAGUCAGAUGUGAAGUCCCCGAGCUCAACUUGGGAACUGCAUUUGAAACUGGCAAGCUAGAGUCUUGUAGAGGGGGGUAGAAUUCCAGGUGUAGCGGUGAAAUGCGUAGAGAUCUGGAGGAAUACCGGUGGCGAAGGCGGCCCCCUGGACAAAGACUGACGCUCAGGUGCGAAAGCGUGGGGAGCAAACAGGAU